UACGUAGGGUGCAAGCGUUGUCCGGAAUUAUUGGGCGUAAAGAGCUCGUAGGCGGUCUGUCGCGUCUGCCGUGAAAGUCCGGGGCUCAACUCCGGAUCUGCGGUGGGUACGGGCAGACUAGAGUGAUGUAGGGGAGACUGGAAUUCCUGGUGUAGCGGUGAAAUGCGCAGAUAUCAGGAGGAACACCGGUGGCGAAGGCGGGUCUCUGGGCAACAACUGACGCUGAGGAGCGAAAGCGUGGGGAGCGAACAGG
rnacentral:rRNA from 1 species